rnacentral:rRNA from 1 species
GACGAACGCUGGCGGCGUGCUUAACACAUGCAAGUCGAACGGAAAGGCACUGCUUUUGUGGGGUGCUCGAGUGGCGAACGGGUGAGUAACACGUGAGUAACCUGCCCUUGACUUUGGGAUAACUUCAGGAAACUGGGGCUAAUACCGGAUAGGAGCUCCUGCUGCAUGGUGGGGGUUGGAAAGUUUCGGCGGUUGGGGAUGGACUCGCGGCUUAUCAGCUUGUUGGUGGGGUAGUGGCUUACCAAGGCUUUGACGGGUAGCCGGCCUGAGAGGGUGACCGGCCACAUGGGGACUGAGAGACGGCGCAGACUCCUACGGGAGGCAGCAGUGGGGAAUAUUGCACAAUGGGCGGAAGCCUGAGGCAGCAGCGCCGCGUGCGGGAUGACGGCCUUCGGGUUGUAAACCGCUGUCGCCUGUGACGAAGCGUGAGUGACGGUAAUGGGUAAAGAAGCACCGGCUAACUACGUG